GAACUGCUGAAAACAUUUUUGAGUUAUUGUCCGAAAACUGGAAAAUACCAUCUUUUUUAAUAAAUGAACCCCUUAACUGAAUAACAUAAAAUCGAAAAUUAAUAAAAAUCGAAAGGGCGCUUACAACAAUAGAUAUAAACAAUUCAGCAAAGUUUCAUGAGAACUGCUGAAAACGUUUUUGUGUUAAUGUCCGAAAACUAGAAAAAAAAACCUUUUUAAUUAAUAAAACCCCUUAACUCGGAAAAGUAAAAUCUAAAAUUUAUAAAAAUUGAAAGGGAGCUCAUGUCCAUAUAUAUAAACAAUUCACUAAAAUUCCUUGCAAAUUUGUGAGA
rnacentral:lncRNA from 1 species